rnacentral:misc_RNA from 1 species
GAAGAAAGUUGGGAGGCUUGGUGGGAUGAAGAACUGGCUCAUAUUCGAACCUUUGGAGGAAGGGUGAUGGAGACCAUUCUUAGUUUACGAUUUUUUAUUUUCCAAUACGGCAUUGUCUAUAAGUUAGAUGUUCAAGGAACAAAUACAUCUUUAACGGUGUAUGGUUUUUCAUGGGUAGCAUUUGCUGUCAUCUUACUCCUCUUCAAGGUGUUCACUUUCAGCCAGAAAAUAUCAGUUAAUUUCCAGUUGCUGUUGCGUUUUAUCCAAGGCCUAUCGUUUUUGCUUGCUGUUGCUGGUUUAGCUGCUGCUGUUGUAUUGACCGAACUUACUGUGACGGAUGUCUUUGCAUGCAUCUUAGCAUUCAUACCCACUGGUUGGGGAAUUCUCUCAAUUGCUGCAGCAUGGAAGCCUCUAAUCAAGAAAAUGGGGAUGUGGAAGUCUUUCCGUUCAGUUGCUCGUCUGUUUGACGCUGGUAUGGGUGUGCUCAUUUUCAUCCCAAUCGCGCUUUUUUCUUGGUUCCCCUUCAUUUCAACAUUUCAAACCCGGCUUAUGUUCAACCAAGCGUUCAGUCGAGGGCUGGAGAUCUCUCUUAUCCUUGCUGGAAACAAUCCAAACACCGGUUUAUAAUCUCUCUGACAAGUUCUACCAAGGCCAGGAUCUGAAAGAGAGGAUUCACUUUCCGAAAUUCCAAGUGACAUGAUUCCUCCUUCAGAAGCUUCAUCUUCCUCUGAUCUUGUACAGAGUAAGAGUAGUUCAUAUUGUUCUAUCACAUUUAGGAGCCUUUAGUAGAGUACUUUAUGUUAUUAGUAAUUAUUGUAAAAUCUGGUAAUGUACAGUUUUCAGAUAUGUAAAAUCAUAAUUUUGACUCUACAUGAUCCCUCAUUAUUAUUGCACUGAACAUUAUUGUUU